rnacentral:snoRNA from 1 species
GCAUUCAGUGAUGAGGCACGGAACAAGCACUGAGCAGUACCUGACACCGGUGGGGAGCAGCUCCACACUGCGUUUCUUCUGAGAGCAGC